UACGGGGGGAGCAAGCGUUGUUCGGAUUUACUGGGCGUAAAGGGCGCGUAGGCGGUCAGCACAAGUCAGUUGUGAAAUCUCCGGGCUUAACUCGGAAAGGUCAACUGAUACUGUGCGACUAGAGUGCGGAAGGGGCAACUGGAAUUCUUGGUGUAGCGGUGAAAUGCGUAGAUAUCAAGAGGAACACCUGCGGCGAAGGCGGGUUGCUGGGCCGACACUGACGCUGAGGCGCGAAAGCCAGGGGAGCGAACGGG
rnacentral:rRNA from 1 species